AGAAUGGUUGAGGUCUUAGUAUGCACUCAAAAUUGGUUGAAGGCUUCUCUGAACUUCGAUGGUUUUUGCAUGGAAGAUGUUGAGAAUUACAACCGAAUGGAUGAACUUUUAGAAUCAAUGAAUUCAAAAUCAACUGAAGAUGACCAAGGGCCCAAUGCUAAGUGAUUCAUUUCAUUUUACAUGGUUUCACUUUUGAGAUAGGCAUAUUAAUCUGUCAAUAAUUUCAUGAUUUGUAUAUUUCCAGCAGUUUUCUAAUUUCUGUAGAACUGAUUUGUACAAUUUUUAUGCUAACAUGACA
rnacentral:lncRNA from 1 species